AUGGUCCCUGUAACCAACUUUGACACGUCAAUGGUGCCUUUUAGUUUGAUACGCUGCAGUUCAUCUUCCAAGACCAGCACGUCAUCUGGGUGGAUGUAUUUGCUCCGAGGAGGCUGCGGGAGCAGGUUGUGCUCCUCACUGAUCUCCUGCAGGAUGGAGGGCUGCAGCGGCAUGGACUUGAACAAAGUGCCCACCACACAGCGCUUCUCCCCGGGCUGCAGCUCGCGCAGCUUCUUCACUACCGCUCCACUGCCCCAGUGCUGCUGGGCCCGGUUCUCCAGUGUUGAAUUGAAAGAAACACAGUCUAGCCACCAAAAAACAUGGAUCUCUCCUCAUGGCAGCUGUAGGAAACACAGGAACUCCGUGACCUGGAAAAUGUGGGACAACUGCCACAAGGUGACCCUGGAAGGCUGGGGUAGGCCCAAUUAAUUUAAAAUUUUGCUUGGCCUUGUCUCUUCCAAUUUUCUAAAUCCUCUGGAAAAAUGAUUAAUGCGUACACUGCCAAUGCGAAAAUAUUUUUGACCCUAUUAAAGUCGACCAAGGGUAAACCAAGUGUAGGCUGGCAUUGUAUCAAACUAGCUUUAUUAAAUUUGAUUGGAGGUUUGUAUGAGGAAGGGACAGACAAGGACAUUAUUUUGCACAGCGGCUCUCUUUUAAAUGAAAAUAUCAAGAGGAAUACAAAGUAGCAAUAUGCCCUGGACAGGAAUCAUUUUAAAUAUAGAAAAAUACCACCAAGAACUUUGUUUAAAGGGUAAACUGUAUUUGCUAGAAAAUAUUCUGCUAUCUUAUUGCUAUGCUGGUCAAUUAUUGAUGAGGGUG
rnacentral:lncRNA from 1 species